rnacentral:rRNA from 1 species
UACGGAGGAUGCAAGCGUUAUCCGGAUUCAUUGGGUUUAAAGGGUGCGUAGGCGGGCUAUUAAGUCAGUGGUGAAAUCCUGCAGCUUAACUGCAGAACUGCCGUUGAUACUGAUAGUCUUGAGUUUGGUUAAGGUAGGCGGAAUGUGUAAUGUAGCGGUGAAAUGCUUAGAUAUUACACAGAACACCAAUUGCGUAGGCAGCUUACUGAGCCGACACUGACGCUGAGGCACGAAAGCGUGGGGAGCAAGCA